rnacentral:rRNA from 1 species
UACGAAGGGUGCAAGCGUUAAUCGGAAUUACUGGGCGUAAAGCGCGCGUAGGUGGUUCGUUAAGUUAGGAGUGAAAGCCCCGGGCUCAACCUGGGAAUUGCUUCUAAAACUGGCGGGCUAGAGUAUGGUAGAGGGUGGUGGAAUUUCCUGUGUAGCGGUGAAAUGCGUAGAUAUAGGAAGGAACAUCAGUGGCGAAGGUGACCACCUGGACUGUAACUGACACUGAGGCGCGAAAGCGUGGGGAGCAAACAGGAUUAGAUACCCCGGUAGUCCCUGAGCGGGCU